rnacentral:rRNA from 1 species
UGGGGAAUAUUGCACAAUGGGCGAAAGCCUGAUGCAGCGACGCCGCGUGAGGGAUGACGGCCUUCGGGUUGUAAAACCUCUUUCAGCAGGGAAGAAGCGAAAGUGACGGUACCUGCAGAAGAAGCGCCGGCUAACUACGUGCCAGCAGCCGCGGUAAUACGUAGGGCGCAAGCGUUGUCCGGAAUUAUUGGGCGUAAAGAGCUCGUAGGCGGUUAGUCGCGUCUGCUGUGAAAACUCGAGGCUCAACCUCGGGCUUGCAGUGGGUACGGGCUGACUAGAGUGCGGUAGGGGUGACUGGAAUUCCUGGUGUAGCGGUGGAAUGCGCAGAUAUCAGGAGGAACACCGAUGGCGAAGGCAGGUCACUGGGCCGCAACUGACGCUGAGGAGCGAAAGCAUGGGGAGCGAACAGGAUUAGAUACCCUGGUAGUCCAUGCCGUAAACGUUGGGCACUAGGUGUGGGGUCCA